UACGAAGGGGGCUAGCGUUGCUCGGAAUCACUGGGCGUAAAGCGCACGUAGGCGGAUUGCUAAGUCAGGGGUGAAAUCUUGGAGCUCAACUCCAGAACUGCCUUUGAUACUGGUGAUCUUGAGUCCGGGAGAGGUGAGUGGAACUGCGAAGUGUAGAGGUGAAAUUCGUAGAUAUUCGCAAGAACACCAGUGGCGAAGGCGGCUCACUGGCCCGGUACUGACGCUGAGGUGGCGAA
rnacentral:rRNA from 1 species